AUAAUAAAGCGCAGAAUUAUAAUGGAUAAAAUAGUAAAGAAUCCCCCCUCCUACUUCUUAAAACAACGUCGCAUUUAGUAAGCUAUUAUAUAACGUUAACCCACGAGCCGGAAGUAAUGUAAUAAGUGCAGUGUUAAUAUUCAUCCGUGUGGAGGUCAGAAAUACAGUUUCGCUCAGACGUUCACCAUUCACUAGCUAGUUAAGUUAAUGUUACCAACACAGAGUAAACAUCUUCACAAUGAAACAACACAAACUGUCUACAGGAAAGCGCCUGACAAAGCCGAUACUUUUUGGGACGCUGCUCGUAGGUUUGGCCACAGCAUUUAUGAACAGGCAUUUGUUCAUGGAAGAUGUGACAGAUCUCAGAGAGCAGGAAAGAUCCCGUCAUGAGGCCAAACGACAGGAGGUGCUGGAAAGAAGGCAGAAACAAAUGGAGGAACUUGCAAAUAAGAGUGCAGGCGGCAGGUGAGACGACUGACACACACCUGCAGGAAAUCACCACUGAAGAAGACAAACACUGGACAUCUUUUGCCAAUAUAAUUUCGGGAAGUGUUCUUUGAUUGCUCUGUUGAUGCUAAAAUCGGACUGAUGUUGCUUUGAGUGAUAUAGAAAGAAUAUAGCCAACAUAGUAUUGUACAGUAUAUAUACAUACAUAUAUAUACGCACACACACGUUUGCUGACAAUGAUGAUUUUAACUGGUUGCCUUGAUUAUAUUUUGUAAGAUGUGGUUAAGGCAUGGAUAAGAUGCAAAGGGUGGAAAUCAUGGGCCAAAUAUGUAAGCUUCUAAUAUGUACGCCACUGACAAAAACAAUGUGGAUUAAAUUAUAGGGGAAACAUAUUGAUUAAAAUAAUAAUUUCUUUAAAUAAAAAGCCUACAUUUCUUUUUUGAUAAAUGAAAAAUUGUUAGACAGUACUUAAUUUUAUUGUCUAAACAAAUACAGGACAAACGUUUUAAAUCAUUGAAAUAAACCUUAAAGGUGCAGUA